rnacentral:rRNA from 1 species
UAGUCCACGCCGUAAACGAUGUCUGCUAGCCGUCGGGGUACUUGGUACUUCGGUGGCGCCGCUAACGCAUUAAGCAGACCGCCUGGGGAGUACGGUCGCAAGAUUAAAACUUAAAGGAAUUGACGGGGGCCCGCACAAGCAGUGGAGCAUGUGGUUUAAUUCGAAGCAACGCGCAGAACCUUACCAGCCCUUGACAUCCCGUGCUACAUCCAGAGAUGGAUGGUUCCCUUCGGGGACGCGGUGACAGGUGCUGCAUGGCUGUCGUCAGCUCGUGUCGUGAGAUGUUGGGUUAAGUCCCGCAACGAGCGCAACCCUUGUCUUUAGUUGCCAUCAUUUAGUUGGGCACUCUAGAGAAACUGCCGGUGACAAACCGGAGGAAGGUAAGGAUGACGUCAAGUCAGCAUGCCCCAUACGCUCUGGGCUACACACGUGCUACAAUGGUCGUGACAAAGAGUUGCUAGUCUGCGAAGGCAAGCCAAUCUCAUAAACGCGGCCUUAGUUCGG